CUUCUUCAUUAAAUCAAAAUUAAUGACUGAUUUGUUUUUGUGUGUUUAAAUUCAGUUUUAUUUAUUUUUGCUGACAAAAAUAUUUUUGUGUAAAUAUGGGAAACUGUUUAUGGAGUUACAUGGCAGCUUUAAAGCCUUACUUUGUAAAGCGCGUGUCGUUAAUUAGUAUCUAUAUAUCUAUAGUAUCUAUAUCUAUUAGUAUAUGCACAUUGAAUGACAGAAGAACAUAGUGAAAAAUGUAAUAUGGAUUAUUCUUAUGCUAAAAGCAGAAAAGAAAGGUAUAGGGCGAGUCAGGGUUCGAGUCCCGACCGGUUGGACGCAACAAGGAAGAGUCUUGGAGCCACACAUAGAGACGAUAGCAAUGAUUAUGGUUUCGACUGGUUAAAUGGCGAAUACAAAGGGGAGGCGAGUCGCAGAGAAGAAUACAGCAUGUCCAGACGGGAUGCAGCAGAGGACUGGGACGCUUUUGGUGCGACCAUGCGAGAUGACAUUGGCAAUCGGAGACGCGACAAUUUAGGCCGAACCAUGAAAGAAAACUUAGGUGCCACGCGGCGCGUGGAUUUAGGCGCCACAGGCGACACGCGGCGCGAGGAUUUUGGUGCGUCUGCUGCAGACGGCCUUCGAGUUACUGGCGGGAAUCCAUAUCGGGAUAGCCGGUAUGGUAAUCCUGAGGUGCCACACUAUCGUCAUCUACAUGAUACCGGAAAUUACGGAGCCAGCAGAUCGAACUUACCCGCAUCUGUGAGAGUAGAAAUCUCAUAUCCUAAGGUAGAUCCGUACGAUACUGCGGUAAAAGAGAGACCUUUCUCAGUAAAUGGCGGACAAGAGACGGUAGUCGAGAAACCGAGGCGUUGGACGAGCAUAGCAGCCGACAGAGAUCUGAUGCAAGAAUGGCACACUAUGUUCGGUCAGAUCCGAACAAAGUGGGCGCCAAGCUCGGGGCUAGACGAUCCGGUAACUGUUUCCAAAUGGCUCGACGGCAAAUCAAGCAAGUAUGGUGACCGACGCCGGCGGAACCUUAGGCUGGCCAUUGUAGUAGCUGUAGUGGCUGCGGUUGUACUUAUGGCAGUCAUGGUGCCCACACUCCUACUUACACUCGGGGAAGAAAAAGAAAAAGAAGUGCUCGUACAGUACGAGUAUAAAGCAACAAUUGCAAACAGAGAGUACAAUGCAGACAUGGCCGACAGUAACUCUGUCGCCUUCAAGAACGUAGAAAACGAAUUUUGCAAUCAGCUGGAUCAAAAUGCGGCUAACGAGAGUAUAACGGAUUUUACAUACGAAGGAUGUUCGCUUAAGGAAAUCAAGAACGGCAGUUUGAUCAUUAUUUAUAUUAUCGUCAUCAAAACUUCACGUUCAAGCGACCAAGCGCUACCGACAGCGCAGCAAGUGAGCACCACUGUUGGUAUUAUAGUUGCUGCAACAAACGUACAAAAUUUCGGUGUUUUCACGAUUGUAACUGUCGAAAUUACAAUAGCACUACCAACUGUCAUCACGGGGAACCAGAACCCUGUCAAGAAAAAAGUACAGUUCAAUGGGACAUGCUCAGGUACCAAUAAAGAACGCUGUGUUACAAAACACUCUGAAUGUAAAGAUGGGGUUUGCAAAUGCCCAGUGGACAGAACCCAUGACGAUUCAUCCGAUAUCUGCACUGAAAUCGACUGUGGUGAUGGACCUAUCAUAAGCAACGGAACUGUAACGUCAAAUGGUACCAAAUAUGAAUCAACACUAAAUAUCACAUGUGACGAAGGUUUCGAACUUCACGACAAUACUACGAUUUAUUGUACCACACCAGGAUCCUGGGGAGACCUGCCAUUAUGCAUGCACGUUGAAUGCCCACAAUUUAUAACACCAAACAAUUCUGAAGUAGUCGCAAAUACCACUGGUCGUACGUAUACAGAUACCAUUGAAAUCACAUGUAUUAUGGGCUACAAGAUUGAUAGCAAUUUAUGCACUGUAACAUGUUUAGCCAACAGGUCUUGGAGUGAGGCCUCUGUUUGUUCUGUCGUAACUUGCAUUGCAUUUGACAUGCCAGAUAAUGCCACAGUUGCUUUGUACAAACAGCAAUAUGAAUACAAUGACAAUAUCACUGUUGUCUGUGACAAAAGGUACAAAAUUCAAGGUGACGAAAUUGUAAGCUGUCAAGCAAAUGAGUCAUGGACAGAUAUACCAACAUGUUCUCCAGUUGAAUGUGUUCCAAUUGAUAUACCAAACAAUGCAACAAUAGGAAACCAGACAACUGACAGCUAUAGGUUUGGGGAUGUUGUACAAGUGAGUUGUCAAGUUGGGUUUUCGCUAUCUGGCGUCAAUAAAGUGGAAUGUUUAUCAAAAGGAAAUUGGAGUGAAUUUCCAAAUUGUGAGAUAAUAGAUUGUGGACCAUAUGAGCCGAGCGGCGAGACAUAUACUAUUGAAUCCAGUUCUACAACUACGUAUAAUACCUCUUUGUCGGUUGCAUGCGUAGAUGGUCUUGAACUAACAAAUGCCUCAGUGAAGACCGUGUCAUGUGAAGCAGAUGGACAAUGGAAUGGACACAUCGAAUGCAAAAUUCCUGUGUCACCUUCUUUUACGGAAACUAGCUAUGCUUUCAUAGAGGACACGUCUGUAAAUGUCAUCUGCCAAGUGACGGGUUACCCAAACUGGAAAACACUACUCAUUGGAAAGGUUGAUGAUAAAAAUGGUGACAUUGUCAGUCAAAUGUUUACGAUCUCCAAUGUAACUGGCUCUGUCGUACCUGCUACCUUCGAUAACAACUAUACUACCAGCUACACACUGAAUAAAGAUGGUGCUUCAAUUUCACUCGAAUUUGACCAUGUGACAUGUGAGAAUGAAGGGUUGUAUAUGUGUGCUGCAAUUGUGGGCGAACUGGGAAGUCCAGUCGAAAUCAACAAUACCACCACAAUAGUAAAUAUAUUAACUGAUUCAACAACCCCAGAAAUAACUAUACCAGAUAAGGUAUACCUCGGCCGAGAGGCACAUGUAAAGUGCACUGGUCUUAUCGGAAAAGGGGAAUCUGGUCAACCUGAAGGACAACUUCUACUUGCAACCAGUUUCGGGGAUAAUGGUAGCAAUGUAACAUACAACGGAUCAGAAACAUCAGAAGAAGUAGACUGUUAUUUUAAAGCCUCGAUUUCAGUACCGAUACCUACUUCUAUAAUCACUUCAGACUUGUGGGCACAAUGUGUAAUUUGUCCUUUGCAUGGAGAUGACAUUUUGUCUGAAAAGACAGACAUUAACAUUCUGACGUCAUUUGUGAAUCUUGAAGGAUUGCAGUUCAAGAUUAUCACCAAAGAAAAUAACGAAUUUUGGCAUUUUGACGGAGGUAACCCUUAUGUAAGGCAGUUUCAUCUAUUUUUCAAGUAAACGAUGAUUUGUCAAAUUCGUGUUUGAGAAACAAGUGGACGAAACAUACAAAAUAAAGUCCGUCGGAAAGCCAAUCUAUAUGUACGAUGGGUAUAACGUCACUGAUGCGCCAGUGGAGUAUCUUCAUGGGAACGUGAACGACACUACUGACGACGACCACAUGCGCUUCAUCGUUUCCGCUGAGACCCAGGA